AUGUCUUCGCCUCAUCCCGUUUUCAGGGACCGGCGACGUUCUACUCGCCCCCAUCAUGAUAAGUCAUCAUUUGACAUAUGUCGCACCCAACUUCCGACGCUCCCCCUAGAGCCCGCGCCCGCCAUGCGUCACUCUGACGCCGGCGUUCACCUCCCAGCCGUCUACCACUCUGACAACGUCGGCCACCCCCUCUCCUCCUUGCUCCAUGUCCCAGCCAUGUCAACCUGCCUGAACUCGGUGGCGGCUCCAUCUCGCAAGGCUGGCGACCUCCCGGUGGUGUCCGGCCUAGGCAUCUCCUCCUGCUCUAAGUUGUCCGAUGGACACGGUUCUCCAGAGGUCUCAUCGCGGGCGCUCAUCGCCCCUGUUGUGGUCGCAGCUCAGGCGGACACCGCCGUGGUGGGCAGCUGCUGCCGGCCUUGGGUCCCCGCCCAGCCAUCCAAGAGGUCGUUCUGGAGGCGGCACCACGCGGGAGAUCUGGCUCCCCAACCGCAGCUCCCCUCCCCUCCCAUACGGUGCGAAGCCUCCCCGAAUAUGGACGGGCUCUGCUUCCGGUGCCUUCGGGAGGGCCAUCAUCACCAGGGUUGCACCAGUGACAUAGUGUGUAUCCGGUGCGGCGAAGAAGCUCACGGCUGCAGGGAGUGCAAGAACCCGCGUAGCCCAUCCUUCGAGUUGGAGCUCCGUCGUCUCGCCAUAGCCAAGGUUGCGCAGGUCGGCUGGCGGCAGGGCCCAGGUCUGCACUCUGCUUCCGCCGCCUCCCCGUCAGCUGCCACGGCCGCGGCGGACCCGUGGCCCCAUCUCGCUGGUCCAUGA
rnacentral:rRNA from 1 species